rnacentral:rRNA from 1 species
AUGGGCGGCGGCAGCGUUACCUCCACCACCGUGUCCGUCGAUGGCGCGAGCACUGACAGCGGUGGUGGCGCAGCCCCGGUCGUCGCCGCCGUCCAACCUACACGUAGCUUGCUGGGUAGGUCGUUCCCGCAGGAGGUUUGGCGGCGAGGAGAGCCUUCUCGCCAACUGGAGAUGAGCCAUGUUCUCAUCCCCCGCACUCCGUCCAUGAAUGCGCUUGAGCUCCGCUACCACCGGUACGUGCUGCUGGCCACGGCGGUUGGUGAUGGCGAGGAGAGCGUGACGCCGACAGCCCUUCUGGCGGCCUUGGAGGAGCGUUGCGGCGUGGUGGCGUCGGAGGUGGUCAUCGAGGUCGCGUGCCCCCCUCACGACAUGUGGCUCACCUUCUCAACGGAGGAGAAGUGCACCGAUGUGCUCUUUUCGUCGAUGAAGUUCAAGUGCUGCCGCCGCUGGAUCCAGUUUACACGCUGGAGCAGAUUCAUUCGUGCUAAGCUGGGUGCUUUCGAGUACAGGAGCAAGCUCAGCUUCGAAGGCCUCCCCAACCAGUCCUGGACACAACGGAAUCGGUGA